GCUUGUAUUACUUCUUCAACCCGGAAUUGAUUCUUAGUGACACUGUUUGGAAUCGUAACUUUCGACACCCGGUAGCGGAAUAGUGUUGAACUAUUCAUUGAUAGUCAAGUAGCCACAACAGCUGAGCAGGCGUCCAAAAAUGUAGUGAAUGCUAUUUUAAAUUGGAUGUUACAACUACAUUUCGUAUAGGAGAUAGCUCUUCUUCGAAGCCACGUUAGCUGCAGAGCUAACCAGAGCUAACAGGGCUUUCGGUCGGGGGCUAAACGCGGUGGAAUGACCUGAGAAAACAAGCCAGGAGAGCAGUAAAGGUUUGACAUUUCAAUGAUGCUCCACCUGCCAUACAACAGCGUGGACCGGGAUCGCCCCCUCUUCCAACUUCCCUUCACCAUCUUUGUCACAGGGAUGCUUCUUCUUCCUGUGACGGGCCUCAUUGUGUCCCUCUUCAUUUCUAUCGUAUACCACUUUGAAGAUGCCAACUACACACAUUGUCAUGUGUCCAACUACCUCCCAUCGAUCAGCGCCGCCAUCAGUCGUGUGCCGGAGCUCUACAUCUGGCGCUUCUGCAUUGGAAUGCAUUCGGCGCCGCGCUUCCUGUUGGCCGCCACCUAUUUCAAUUUCUACCGCGGCCGUUUCGCCACCAAGCUUCCAGAGCUGCUCCUGAGCUGGCUGGCGCUGGCGUGCAACCUGACUGAAAACUGCGCCCUCCUGCUGCUCACCUAUGUGGCGUCCACAGAGAUCUACACUGUUCACAAAGGGGGCUUCCUCACGUUCAUUGUGAGCUCACAACUCUACAUGCUGAUCUCGUGCAGGUUGUGGUACGUGAUCAAGAGUCACUGUGUGAACAAACAGGAGAUGAUUUCGUACAAGUGGAAGGUGCACCUUCUCCUCUGCAACUUGGGCUGCUGUGUGGCUGCCGCCUACUUCUUCAGACGCCACAACAAGCACUGCGAGGCCGGAGUCUACACGCUGUUUGCUCUCUUCGAGUACCUGGUGGUGUUCUCCAACAUGGCCUUCCACACUACGUCGAUCUUGGACUUUGAGGGCAAGAUACGGAUAGAGGGAGAGGAAAACGAGAGAAGGCAAGAGGAAACAGGUGAGAACAAUCAGGAGACCAUGACAAGCAAGAACGUUUAUUGAACCUUUAAAAUCUGCUUCGGCCCACCACACAUGGACGGGCAGCUUCUAGUGUAGGACAUUUGGAGGCCUCGUUUGUUUGAUGUCUUCUUUUGAAGGUUUUUAACGACUCCCUUACGAAACAUUGAAAUACUUGUUAAAGAAGGAGAUAGUUGCACGGAGAGAGCAGGAUGGAGAGACGAGGGACACGCAGGGUGCAAGACCUGGAAAGAGGCAGGUGAGAAAUGGGCAGCGCUUGUUUGUAGAUCUGUCCAAAAAGAACAGCAAAUGAUAUCCACAUUCCAUUUCAUGGAUGCUUUUGUCGCAAAGGGAGAAGAGAAGAGCAGGCAAAGUUUUGAAGGUAGCGGCAGACCAGAGAGGUACACCGUAUUAAAAGCAUUUUUUAAUCUGUAUGUUUGAUGAAAAUGAUAUUCCCAUAUCAGUAAAAAAAAAAAAAAAGAAAUCAUGCUUUUCAAGUUUGCUGUUGACUUCCCCAUUUGUAGCAAUCGGUUGCAUAUUUUACAUGUACAGGCUCUGGCACGCCCGCGACCCUCACCUUUGGAAAACAUCUUUUACUCAUUUCACACAGCUCCGCAAUUGCUUUUGGGAUUUAUUGUGAACCUUAAAGAGGGACGGAGACCCUGCGUGAUGAUCAAAUCAACAUUUAUUAUCAGGGGCAUUCUCAGCCUGAUUAGUAUGGCAGGUCGUAACUUCCGCUAACGACGCCUCGUGAGCAAGGUGAAGAAAGAGUCUGCAGUCAGGAAGAGGAAGCGCUGAGGAGUUGCCGCCAUGAAGGACGGAGGAGAAUUCACGCCGUCUCCACUCUCCGACGGCCUCUGCCGGAUAGCUUCUGAUUUUUGCCCAAUCCGAGAGAUUCUAUUUGAUGUGGCACCAAGAACAUUUCAUUUAAACUUCAUUUAGACUUGGAUGACAUUUUCUUCACAUUUUUCACCCGCUUUGUGGUCGAUUUUUUUUUUUUUCUCGCCAUUUUUUUCAAUGGGGGCUUUACUGUUGUAAACUUCUUUUCAACCUCCCCACCUGGAACUUAGAAUCAAAAAGCCGCUUUUAGACAGUUCUGAUCCCAUCACUGGAGAGCAGCGCACAAAGCUUCUUGGUGACGGCAGGCUCUGGGUUGAGGAAGGCCCUGACGGCCUCAGCGAACACAUCCUUGAUGCCGUCCUGGUUGAGGGCGGAGCACUCCAGGUAGCGCACGGCUUGGAUCUGGCGAGCCAGCGUGACACCCUGGUGAUGAGUGACUGGCGCCUGAUCCUGCUCCUUCAGCUUCCUCUGGGUGUCGGUGUCGUUUCGGAGGUCGCUCUUGGUGCCCACCAGGAGGACGGGCACGCCAGGACAGUGGUGUGACACCUGAGGAAGGGGCGAGACGAGGAGGCUGGGCUUGAGAUGGAGAAGCAAAUGAUGAAGACGUUGGUCUGCGGGUAAGACAACGUCCUCAGGCGGUCGUACUCCUCCUGGCCCGCCGUGUCCCACAGGUU